ACACAUGCAAGUCGAGGGGCAACAUGAUUGAAGCUUGCUUCAAUUGAUGGCGACCGGCGCACGGGUGAGUAACGCGUAUCCAACCUUCCGUACACUCAGGGAUAGCCUUUCGAAAGAAAGAUUAAUACCUGAUGGUAUGAUGAGAUUGCAUGAUAGCAUCAUUAAAGAUUUAUCGGUGUACGAUGGGGAUGCGUUCCAUUAGGUAGUAGGCGGGGUAACGGCCCACCUAGCCAACGAUGGAUAGGGGUUCUGAGAGGAAGGUCCCCCACAUUGGAACUGAGACACGGUCCAAACUCCUACGGGAGGCAGCAGUGAGGAAUAUUGGUCAAUGGACGAGAGUCUGAACCAGCCAAGUAGCGUGAAGGAUGAAGGUCCUACGGAUUGUAAACUUCUUUUAUAAGGGAAUAAACCCUCCCACGUGUGGGAGCUUGUAUGUACCUUAUGAAUAAGCAUCGGCUAACUCCGUGCCAGCAGCCGCGGUAAUACGGAGGAUGCGAGCGUUAUCCGGAUUUAUUGGGUUUAAAGGGAGCGCAGACGGGUCGUUAAGUCAGCUGUGAAAGUUUGGGGCUCAACCUUAAAAUUGCAGUUGAUACUGGCGUCCUUGAGUGCGGUUGAGGUGUGCGGAAUUCGUGGUGUAGCGGUGAAAUGCUUAGAUAUCACGAAGAACUCCGAUUGCGAAGGCAGCACACUAAGCCGUAACUGACGUUCAUGCUCGAAAGUGUGGGUAUCAAACAGGAUUAGAUACCCUGGUAGUCCACACGGUAAACGAUGGAUACUCGCUGUUGGCGAUAUACUGUCAGCGGCUUAGCGAAAGCGUUAAG
rnacentral:rRNA from 1 species